rnacentral:ribozyme from 1 species
ACAUUGAAUGAUAUCAACUACAGGCUUGUAUGUUGUUCAUCGAUUUUUUUAUUUUUUCAUCAACUUGCUUCAUGGUCAAGUCAUCGUACUAGUAGAUAGAGACAGAGAGGGACUACAACUAGAAGUAGAGAAUUAAAAGGA